rnacentral:lncRNA from 1 species
AACCUGUGGAAGUCUCUGUGAGCAGCAAGAAGAGGGAGGAUGAAGAGGAAGGUAUGAUUGAUGAAGAGGGAGAGGAGGGUAUGAUAGCCGAUGAUGACCCUCGCGCAAGUGCAGCUGUGCAAAACGGUGGUGAUAAGUGACAAGGCUUUGAACAAUGAAUUUGCUAUUCUACAAACAAUCCAUGUUAAGACUUUUAUGAUUGAGCUGUUGUUUGUUAUGUAACAUUGAGCUUUCAUUUGCUGUUUGUUAUGAACCAGAGUCCAAGAUCGUUGUUUGUUAUGUCGACUUGUUUGAACAGCAAUUCUUUUUGUUGAUUUAUUAUGGGGAAA